rnacentral:lncRNA from 1 species
GGUGGAGGCAAACCCAUCCAAACAUGGAAGGGCAGGAAGAUGCAUUGCAAAAUUGUGGAUGGGUCAUAUUCCCGGGAGAUGUGGCAUUGAAUCUCAAAGAACUGGAAGGAGAACGACUCACCCAACCUGCCUUUCAGGAAACAAUAAAUGCAAGAGAAGAUGGCGCUGAGCUGGAAGAGUGUGAUGGAACGCUGGAUAUUUGGACAGCCUCAGCCACAGGAGAUGAAGCUUAAUUUCCCAUGUGGACAGAAAAUAUGCAGUAGACAAAAUAACUCAAAGGAGGUAAGAUCACAGGAUAAUUCAGUUGGAAGACACCUCAGAGGUUUUUAGUCUAACAUUUUGCUCACAGCAGGAUCAGCCAUGAGAUGAGUUUCAGGGCUUUAUUCAGGUGCACCCUGAAGACCUCCAAACCUCCAAGGAAGAUGCACAGCAUAGAACCACAGAACCACAGAAUAUCCUGAGUUAAAAGGGACCCACAAGGAUCACUGAGUCCAACUCCUGCCUCAACACAGGACCACACAAAAAUCAGACCAUAUGUCCGAGUACAUUGUCCAAACGCUCCUUGAACUCCAGCAGCCCCUCUGCUCCGUUCUUCGUCGGGGAAAAAGAUUCCUUAUAGCCAGUUCAAACUUCUCUUCUGUUGUCUCGUCGUUCCACUAUCCAUUACUGUUUACAGCAAGCGUGUCCAACCUGUGGGCCACAUGAAGCUCUGGACAGCUAAUAGUGUGGCCCCACAAGAUCAUAAACUUUUACCCUUAAUAUGUGAUUCUUAGCAAAAUUUAUCAUGAAUUGAUUGCAUGUAGCUCGAGCAUAGGCCACGUAGGUGACAUUGGUGUGCCCCUCAUGCCCACCAUACACGCUCAGUUGAAUCAAAACCCAACAUGCAUUUCACGUUACAUGUGCUUCUGCCACUUGGCAAGUCCUGAUACUAGUAUUUCAACCUACUUACAUGUGUAUGUGCCUGUGAAGACACAUAGUUUUUGUUAUUAAGCAGACAUGUAAGUUUUCUUAUUUAAUUAUCAAUUAGUAAUGCAUUCUAUACCUACAUUUUAACUUUUUUUCAGAAUUGGUACAUUCACUGAACUGUGUAUUUUUUUUACAUGAAAGUAAUAUAAUAAAUUAAGUGUUUUAUGAUAAAAUCCA